rnacentral:rRNA from 1 species
UGGGGAAUUUUGCACAAUGGGGGAAACCCUGAUGCAGCGACGCCGCGUGAUUUAGAAGGCCUUCGGGUUGUAAAAAUCUUUUCUAUGGGAAGAAAAUGACAGUACCAUAGGAAUAAGGACCGGCUAAUUACGUGCCAGCAGCCGCGGUAAUACGUAAGGUCCGAGCGUUGUCCGGAAUCAUUGGGCGUAAAGGGUACGUAGGCGGGUAAGCAAGUUAGAAGUGAAAUCCUAUAGCUCAACUAUAGUAAGCUUUUAAAACUGCUCAUCUUGAGGUAUGGAAGGGAAAGUGGAAUUCCUAGUGUAGCGGUGAAAUGCGCAGAUAUUAGGAGGAAUACCGGUGGCGAAGGCGACUUUCUGGCCAUAACCUGACGCUGAGGCACGAAAGCGUGGGUAGCAAACAGG